rnacentral:rRNA from 1 species
AUUGAACGCUGGCGGCACGCCUAACACAUGCAAGUCGAGCGGUAACAUGAUCUGUAGCAAUACAGAUUGAUGACGAGCGGCGGACGGGUGAGGAAAACGUAGGAACCUGCCCUUGAGAGGGGGACAACCAAGGGAAACUUUGGCUAAUACCGCAUAAUCUCGAGAGAGGAAAGUUGCUCGCAAGGGUGACACUCGAGGAGGGGCCUGCGUCCGAUUAGCUAGUUGGAGAGGUAAGAGCUCCCCAAGGCGAUGAUCGGUAACUGGUCUGAGAGGACGACCAGUCACACUGGGACUGAGACACGGCCCGGACUCCUACGGGAGGCAGCAGUGGGGAAUAUUGGACAAUGGGGGCAACCCUGAUCCAGCGAUGCCGCGUGGGUGAAGAAGGCCUUCGGGUUGUAAAGCCCUUUAGGUUGGGAAGAAGGGUAUGGGUGGAAAUACUCAUACUUUGACGGUACCGACAGAAUAAGCACCGGCAAACUCUGUGCCAGCCGCCGCGGUAA